ACUCCGGCUUUGUGGGGUGGCGGAGAAUCACUUCUUGACCAGUGAAGGCAGGAUGGUAAAGGCCCCUGAGGAAUGGUCAUUUUGAAGCCUUGGGCAUCUGUCCACCCUCGAGGUCCCGGGUUGAGUUUGUGUCUGGAGGGGCGGCCCAGCGUUAUUUAAGAAGUCUUUGCUCUGGGCCUGGAGAAGACCCUCAGAGUAUCCUGAGAAGCCUGUCUUGGAGGUUUCAGGGAGGAGCACGGGGAUCUACUGGACAUUGUCCUCCUAGGCCUGCCUGCAUCUUUGGAGCCUCACAGCCCUCUAAGCUCCUCUUGUCAUACAAGGAGCAAAGUCAUUCCCACAAGAUCCCAUGACCUCCUGCCCCCCGAGGUCUGCAGUCUCCUGAACCCAGCAGCCAUCUACGCCAACAACGAGAUCAGCCUGCGUGAUGUUGAGGUCUACGGCUUUGACUAUGACUACACCCUGGCCCAGUAUGCAGACGCACUGCACCCGGAGAUCUUCAGCGCCGCCCGUGACAUCCUGAUCGAGCACUACAAGUACCCAGAGGGGAUUCGGAAGUA
rnacentral:sRNA from 1 species